rnacentral:lncRNA from 1 species
CAGAGGAGUUAUGCUGAUCGGCGUCGACGAGACUUGGAGUUUCAGAUUGGAGACCAUGUGUUCUUGAAAGUCUCGCCGACCAAAGGAAUUAGAAGAUUUGGAAUCCGGGGUAAGUUGAGCCCCCGAUACAUUGAACCGUAUGAGAUUUUGGAGCGUGUAGGCCCGGUGACGUAUAGACUUGCCCUACCACCGAACCUAUCGGGUGUACACAAUGUAUUCCAUGUAUCGGUCCUUCGGAAGUACAUCCACGACCCGGCUCAUGUAUUGGAUGCUACACCUAUGGAGCUGCGGGAGGAUUUGAGCUUUGAGGAGCAACCCUUGAGAAUUUUGGCUCGCGAGGUAAAAAGACUGCGGAACCGAAAAAUUCCAUACGUGAAGGUGCUUUGGAGCAACCACGACGAGCGCGAGGCCACUUGGGAGUUAGAGAGCGCACUGCGGGAGCGCUAUCCCCAUCUUUUUCAGACGGAGGCUUGAGGUAACUGUCAUUUCGAGUAUCGCGGACGAAACUCCUUUUUAGGAGGGGUGAAUGUAACACACUGGACCUUUGCAAAUUGCGAGGUUCGAGUGUUUGAAUGCAUUUCGAGCUUUUCCACACUUGGUAGAGGGUUGUAAAUGUUUCCCGACCCGAAAAGUUCGAAAUCUGGAACUUUGGACAAGUCCUGAGAGUUUUUACUCUCGGGGACCGGUCCCUGGAAGGAGAGACCGGUUCCCCCAGUGAGCAGUGUUGAGGCAGCCUGAGGCAACCGGUCCCUGGCAGGCGAGACCGGUUCCCGAACGCGUCUUCGCGGUGAGAGACCGGUCCCGCGCAGGGAGAGACCGGUUCCCGAACGCUGGUUUUUCGGGUUCGCAGCGAGAGACCGGUCCCUGCUGGGGAGAGACCGGUCCCUCUGGGCGAAAACUGCCCAGACCGGGCUGAUGUAAUUUUGGAUUUUUGAGGGACCUCCUGGGAUUUUGUUACUUUGGAUGGCCUAAAUAGCCCUUCCACCCUCUCUCUUUCUCAUUUCUCCCCUCACACUCCCUCCAUACCUUUGUUAGAGAGAGAAGAAGGAGGAGAAGAAGAAGGAGAAGGAGGGAAGAAGGAGAAGUUGGAGCCGCUAGUGGACUUGGAGCAUCUUCCUCACCCUCCCAUCUUCCUUGGUGCUUGAAGGCUUGGACUUGGAGCUUGCAAAGGGGAAGAUCUUCAUCCUUUGAGCUUGGAUUGGAGCUUCUAAGGAGGUUUGUUGCCCAUUUCCCUCCUCUAGACCUUGUUUUGAUGGUUUUUGUAGUUGAAACCCUAGUAAUGAGAUUUAGGGCUUAUUUUGGGCAUUUUCGAUCUAGGGCUUUUGGACCCAAAUUGAUUGGUUUAGAACCUUCCUAGGGCUUGGAUUGGAAGGGUUCUAGCUCUCUUUUGGAGCUUUGGAAGAGAUUUCUACUCUUGAGGUGAGUUUUGCCCCUUUUUGCUCCUAGGGUAAUGUUUGAUGUUAUAGGAUGGUUGUAAUGCUCUCGUAUCUCUUCGCUGACCACUUUUAGGUUAUCUUGAGGCUCGUGGACAACUUCGUUCGGCAAAUCGAGACCCUACGCGACGGUUCGGUGGGUUUGACCUAGCCACACAAUGAGAAAUUCUCAUUUGUGCUUAAUUAAGUGUUGUUAAAUGAAAAAGCAUGCAUAUUCUUGUUAUAUGUAUUUAUUGUGAAUUUUAGAAUGCUUAAAAGGCCUAUGUUAUAUAUGAUGAAAUUUUGGACCUCUAUGUAGUAGAGAGUAGCUUAUUAGGCCAUAGUUGCAUUUAGCAUUCUAUAUGAGACGUGGUAUCAUGCUUCUAUAGUAUAAAUGAGUUCGGAUUCAUGCAUUUAAACCUAAGUUACUUGUGACAUGAAAAUUGACAAGAUUGUCAUUUAGAAGCUAUGUGAAUUAGAGAGCUAAUGUCAUCAAGCGGCAUUGAGCUCGGGACAUGUGAGAACCUAGUGGAUAGGGCCAUCAAGGGAUUUAGAAUACAUAUUGAACAUCAAUUGCCUAAGUGUCAUCAAGGGGCACUAGGCGUAGCAAAGGUUGAACCUUCACAUUGUGACAUAAACUAGAUCUUUGGGAUGCUAGUGACUAUACCAUGUUAGAGACAUGAGGAUUGGAUACUUGAGACUUGGACUUUGCUUGCUUGCCAUUUGUGCUCAUUCGCACAUGCUUGUGAGGGUCGCUCCCUACAAGCCGGCACUCCGGAGUUAGCCUAUGCGACCUAUGUUCGCUCGUGCGGUAUUGAGAAGCCUACGGGGUCGAGUGGGACAGACACAUUCCAAGAGUAGGGAUGUUGGGCUACCACAGGCACUUAGGCGGCACAAGCUGGACUACCUUUGGUAGGUCCUUGAUUGGAAAUGGAAAUCGAUACGGGGUCGAGAUUGGUUAAUCACUACUAGAUAGGUUUAGUAGUUGGAUUACAUUUAUAUGUUUUUUUGCAUAGUGUUGAGACAUGUAGUAUAUUUGAUAGUCUCUUGUUGCAUUAGAGCAUACUUGGUUGCCAUGAUAGAGCUUAUGCAUCAUGCAUUGAUAAAGGUUAUUGACAUUGAACUAUUACCAUUGGACAUAGUAUUUUGAUAUUGUAGAUGUACAUCACCAUGACAUCGUUAUACUUGAGUUUAGUAAGUUAGCAUUAUAAUUAUGCCUUUAUAUUGCUAUCAUUAUUGUACUUACCCUUUUCUUUUGGGGCCUAGUGGUGCAUUGAGCUGAGGUCAGUAAUUGCCCACUGGGAACUAUAAAUUAUAGUUCUCACGCCCUCUUUUUCUCGAUGUUUUUCAGAGCCUUCCACUCAGGGUGAGGCCAGGGAUCGCGGAAAGGGUAUCGCCUCGGGCUAGCGCGCUUACCGAGGGAUCGUUCGAUAGGUGGUCUACCUCUCGUGUUUUCUUUUGUGAGGGGUUGAGAGUUGUACCCGUAUUUGUGUAGAGACCACCAUUUUUGUACUAGAGACAGAUAUUGUACUACUUAUGGUUAUCUUUGUUGACUAGCUUUAUUUCUUUACUUUGGUGUAGAUGAUAGAACUUUACUUGCUCUGAUAUCAUUAGUUGCUAGUUAUUUCACUUCUUUUAUUUGUUCUAUCUCUUGCUUUUACUUCCGCUUUUCUUGUAGACGCCUUAUAUGUGUAGACAUAUGGCAGGUUUGGGCACGCUACCGGGAGGGCCUCCGCCGGUCCCGGGGCGUGACAAAACAAGCCCUAAACACAGCUCUAGAGAAGUAACAUCUCAAAUU